AUUGAACGCUGGCGGCAUGCCUUACACAUGCAAGUCGAACGGUAGCGGGCCUUCGGGUGCCGACGAGUGGCGAACGGGUGAGUAAUGUAUCGGAACGUACCAUUGAGUGGGGGAUAACGUAGCGAAAGUUACGCUAAUACCGCAUAUUCUCUCCGGAGGAAAGCAGGGGACCGCAAGGCCUUGCGCUCUUUGAGCGGCCGAUAUCAGAUUAGCUAGUUGGUGAGGUAAAGGCUCACCAAGGCGACGAUCUGUAGCGGGUCUGAGAGGAUGAUCCGCCACACUGGAACUGAGACACGGUCCAGACUCCUACGGGAGGCAGCAGUGGGGAAUUUUGGACAAUGGGGGCAACCCUGAUCCAGCCAUGCCGCGUGAGUGAAGAAGGCCU
rnacentral:rRNA from 1 species